UUCAGACCGGAGUAAUCCAGGUCGGUUUCUAUCUAUUUUACGCCCCUCCCAGUACGAAAGGACAAGAGAGACAGGGCCUCCUUAACCUAAGCGCCCUCCAGCCGAACAGAUGAUAUAAUCUUAAUCUGACGUGCAGUAAACAUACAGCCCAAGAUCAGGGCU
rnacentral:rRNA from 1 species